rnacentral:rRNA from 1 species
GGGCCCGCACAAGCGGUGGAGCAUGUGGUUUAAUUCGAUGCAACGCGAAGAACCUUACCUACUCUUGACAUCCAGAGAACUUUCCAGAGAUGGAUUGGUGCCUUCGGGAACUCUGAGACAGGUGCUGCAUGGCUGUCGUCAGCUCGUGUUGUGAAAUGUUGGGUUAAGUCCCGCAACGAGCGCAACCCUUAUCCUUGUUUGCCAGCACGUAAUGGUGGGAACUCCAGGGAGACUGCCGGUGAUAAACCGGAGGAAGGUGGGGACGACGUCAAGUCAUCAUGGCCCUUACGAGUAGGGCUACACACGUGCUACAAUGGCGUAUACAGAGGGCUGCCAACCAGCGAUGGUGAGCGAAUCCCAGAAAGUACGUCGUAGUCCGGAUUGGAGUCUGCAACUCGACUCCAUGAAGUCGGAAUCGCUAGUAAUCGUGAAU